rnacentral:rRNA from 1 species
AUUGAACGCUGGCGGCAUGCCUUACACAUGCAAGUCGAACGGCAGCACGGGUGCUUGCACCUGGUGGCGAGUGGCGAACGGGUGAGUAAUACAUCGGAACGUACCUUAUCGUGGGGGAUAACGCAGCGAAAGCUGUGCUAAUACCGCAUACGCCCUGAGGGGGAAAGCGGGGGAUCGCAAGACCUCGCGCGAUUAGAGCGGCCGAUGCCUGAUUAGCUUGUUGGUGGGGUAAAAGCCCACCAAGGCGACGAUCAGUAGCUGGUCUGAGAGGACGAUCAGCCACACUGGGACUGAGACACGGCCCAGACUCCUACGGGAGGCUGCAGUGGGGAAUUUUGGACAAUGGGGGCAACCCUGAUCCAGCAAUGCCGCGUGAGUGAAGAAGGCCUUCGGGUUGUAAAGCUCUUUUGUCAGGGAAGAAACACCGGUUCUAACACAGUCCGGGAAUGACGGUACCUGAAGAAUAAGCACCGGCUAACUACGUGCCAGCCGCCGCGGUAA